GAUGAACGCUAGCGGGAGGCCUAACACAUGCAAGCCGAGCGGUAUUGUUUCUUCGGAAAUGCGAGAGCGGCGUACGGGUGCGUAACACGUGUGCAACCUGCCUUUAUCUGGGGGAUAGCCUUUCGAAAGGAAGAUUAAUACUCCAUAAUAUAUUGAACGGCAUCGUUUAAUAUUGAAAGCUCCGGCGGAUAGAGAUGGGCACGCGCAAGAUUAGCUAGUUGGUGAGGUAACGGCUCAGCAAGGCGAUGAUCUUUAGGGGGCCUGAGAGGGUGAUCCACCAGACUGGAAACGAGGCACGGACCAGUCUGCGACGGAGCGGAGGAGUAAGGAAUGUAGGUCGAGGAGUGCAAACCUGAACCAGCCGCGCCAGUGGAAGAGCGACUGCCCUAGGGGAUGUAAGCUACUUUGGUAUAGGGAAAAAGCAAGCCACGAGGGAGGAGCUGAAGGUACUUAACGAAAAAGCACCGGCUAACUCCGUG
rnacentral:rRNA from 1 species